AGCAUAUCAUAAGCGGAGGAAAAGAAACCAACAGGGAUUGCCCCAGUAACGGCGAGUGAAGCGGCAAGAGCUCAAAUUUGAAAGCUGGCCCCCUCGGGGUCCGCAUUGUAAUUUGCAGAGGAUGCUUCGGGAGUGGCCCCCAUCUAAGUGCUCUGGAACGGGCCGUCAUAGAGGGUGAGAAUCCCGUAUGGGAUGGGGUGCCCGCGACCAUGUGAAGCUCCUUCAACGAGUCGAGUUGUUUGGGAAUGCAGCUCUAAAUGGGUGGUAAAUUUCAUCUAAAGCUAAAUAUUGGCCGGAGACCGAUAGCGCACAAGUAGAGUGAUCGAAAGAUGAAAAGCACUUUGAAAAGAGAGUUAAAAAGCACGUGAAAUUGUUGAAAGGGAAGCGCUUGCGACCAGACUCGCCUGCGGGGUUCAGCCGGUAUUCGUACCGGUGUACUUCCCCGUGGGCGGGCCAGCGUCGGUUUGGGCGGCCGGUCAAAGGCCCUCGGAAUGUAACGCCUCUCGGGGCGUCUUAUAGCCGAGGGUGCCAUGCGGCCAGCCCGGACCGAGGAACGCGCUUCGGCACGGACGCUGGCAUAAUGGUCGUAAGCGACCCGUCUUGAAACACGGACCAAGGAGUCUAACAUCUACGCGAGUGUUCGGGUGUCAAACCCGUGCGCGCAGUGAAAGCGAACGGAGGUGGGAACCCUCACGGGUGCACCAUCGACCGAUCCUGAUGUCUUCGGAUGGAUUUGAGUAAGAGCGUAGCUGUUGGGACCCGAAAGAUGGUGAACUAUGCCUGAAUAGGGCGAAGCCAGAGGAAACUCUGGUGGAGGCUCGCAGCGGUUCUGACGUGCAAAUCGAUCGUCAAAUUUGGGUAUAGGGGCGAAAGACUAAUCGAACCAUCUAGUAGCUGGUUCCUGCCGAA
rnacentral:rRNA from 1 species